GCCGGUGUAGCUCAGUUGGUAGAGCAACUGAUUUGUAAUCAGUAGGUCGGGGGUUCGAAUCCCUUCACCGGCUCCA
rnacentral:tRNA from 1 species